rnacentral:ncRNA from 2 species
CCCUACUGCUAGGGGUCUAUUUAACGAUUCGUGUAAAUAGUGAGAAAAACCCUUUGAACCUGAUGUGGCUUAUACCACCGUAGGAAAGCAAACGAUUUGCUUC